AGUGAAUAGAUACCCUGGUAGUCCCAGCUGUAAACGAUGCGCGUUAGGUGUAUCGGUGACCACGAGUCACCGAGGUGCCGAAGAGAAAUCGUGAAACGUGCCGCCUGGGAAGUACGGUCGCAAGGCUGAAACUUAAAGGAAUUGGCGGGGGUAGCACCACAACAGGUGGAGCCUGCGGUUUAAUCGGACUCAACGCCGGGUAAACCUCACCAGAUAAGACAGCUGAAUGAUAGUCGGGUCUGAAGACUCUACUUGACUAGCUGAGAGGAGGUGCAUGGCCGUCGUCAGUUCGUACUGUGAAGCAUCCUGUUAAGUCAGGCAA
rnacentral:rRNA from 1 species